ACACGUAGGGGGCGAGCGUUGUCCGGAAUUACUGGGCGUAAAGGGUGCGUAGGCGGCACUUUAAGUCAAGUGUGAAAUACCAUGGCUCAACCAUGGAAGUGCACUUGAAACUGGAGUGCUUGAGAUCAUGUCAGGGAGACGGAAUUGCCAGUGUAGGGGUGAAAUCCGUAGACAUUGGCAAGAACGCCAGUGGUGAAGACGGUCUCCUGGACUGAUACUGACGCUGAGGCACGAAAGCUAGGGGAGCGAACGGGAUUAGAAACCCCAGUAGUCC
rnacentral:rRNA from 1 species